rnacentral:lncRNA from 1 species
CAUGAUAUGCACCAUUACGAUCUCCCUCAUUCGUUACUCCUCUAAGAAUGAGGACUCCUUAUCACACAACGAUUGGCAUAAGGAAUCAUGGGAGCAUAAUUGACAAGCAUGACUGGUGGCAUUAGGCCUUUGCUUGAUGAUCAAGCAGGACAGGAUGUAAAUCCAUGCUCGUAAGGGAGAAAUCAUGUUGUUCUUGCUUAAUCCAAGUGUAAUA